AGAGGGAGGCAUGGAAUGGACAGAUGAAGACAGUCCAAACAGGAGGCAGAGGCCAGAGCCCCAUACAUGGAAAGGAAACACCAUUUCCUCCCUGCCUGCCCCUUUCAGCUGAUGUCAUCUAGAGUAAGAGGCUGCAAGAGGUUCUGGAUCAGAGCCAAAGGGUGAGCUCAGCAAUGGUCACUACAAGCCUGAUGACCGAGAAGAUCUAGGUGAGAGAGGAGAAGAGCUCCAAAGCUGGGGCUGAGAGGAACAGAAAAACUCAGAAAAUGUAAUGAAGCGGACAGACUCGCUAUGGCCUUUACCUCUUGCCCCCUAACCUCAGUGGAGGUGAAAUCCUGAAUCCACCCCACAGUCUCUUCUAGCUCCAGUGGGUAGCACAGCACAGAAGCACCCUGUUACCUGAGGCUUCCCCUCCCAGGUACAAAGGGAUAUGGGAUUUGCCUGUUUGGCCAGUCUGCAUUUUUCUACCCGCCUCUCUGGAUAUUUUAGUUUUCCUCUUCCCUUCCUAUCAUUCCAUCCCUUCAAGGCUGUCUGGCUCCCAGGCCCUAACAGGUCUUCACUCAUAAUCUCCACUUCAUGGUGUGUUAAGGAGAUUAUUUUUUUUCCCCAUCAAUAAAAACCUUUUAAUCAUUUUUCUGGGGAUGGGUGGCUUCAAAAAAUGUGGUACAAGAAUGACAGUCUAGGGCCCAGACCAAUGGUUCCCAAAGUGAGGUCCUGGGACCAGCAGCAUUAGUAUCACACGGGAACUUAUAAGAAAUGCAAAUUCUCAGGCCCAUCCUCACUAGUAAGAAAGAAUCAGAAAUUCUAGGCUGGGCACGGAGGCUCACGCCUGCAAUCCCAGCACUUUGGGAG
rnacentral:lncRNA from 10 species